GAUGGGCCAACUGCGGCGGUACCUAUUGGUCUGAGAAAUACCGGCGAACUUGAUCUGGAUAAUACCAGCGAAAGGAUUGGCUUCUUGGGACCC
rnacentral:ncRNA from 16 species